UACGUAGGGGGCAAGCGUUGUCCGGAAUCAUUGGGCGUAAAGAGCGCGUAGGCGGCCCUGUAAGUCCGCUGUGAAAGUCAAGGGCUCAACCCUUGAAUGCCGGUGGAUACUGCAGGGCUAGAGUCCGGAAGAGGCGAGUGGAAUUCCUGGUGUAGCGGUGAAAUGCGCAGAUAUCAGGAGGAACACCGAUGGCGAAGGCAGCUCGCUGGGACGGUACUGACGCUGAGGCGCGAAAGCCAGGGGAGCAAACGGG
rnacentral:rRNA from 1 species